AUUGAACGCUGGCGGCAUGCUUUACACAUGCAAGUCGAACGGGCUUGGGGGCUUGCUCCCAAGUUAGUGGCGAACGGGUGAGUAAUACAUCGGAACGUACCGUGUAGUGGGGGGUAACGUAGCGAAAGUUACGCUAAUACCGCAUACAAUCUACGGAUGAAAGCAGGGGACCUUCGGGCCUUGUGCUAUACGAGCGGCCGAUGUCUGAUUAGCUAGUUGGUGAGGUAAAGGCUCACCAAGGCGACGAUCAGUAGCGGGUCUGAGAGGAUGAUCCGCCACACUGGGACUGAGACACGGCCCAGACUCCUACGGGAGGCAGCAGUGGGGAAUUUUGGACAAUGGGCGAAAGCCUGAUCCAGCCAUGCCGCGUGUCUGAAGAAGGCC
rnacentral:rRNA from 1 species